rnacentral:lncRNA from 1 species
UUUUUUUUUUUUUUGGGUCGUCAAACAUGGCGUGGGCACGCCAAGAUUAGAGAACAUCCACUGACUUCGAGAGUCACCUUACGCACUUUAACGCGUGCCCUCUUCGCGUGGGUACGCCAAGAUUCUAUUUUCUGCCGGCGUCGCGAGAUGUUGAGAAUUUACCAACACGAUGCGGGCACGCCAUGUUUUACAAACGUCCUCUGCCCAUGGGACUUGGACUUAGACGCUUAACGCGUGCCCUCCUCGCGUGGGCACGCCAAGAUUACCUAUCCUGAUCAGAGUUAGAAAACAUCAAGACUGACUAGUACCCACGUGAGAAACGACAUUAUUAAAUAAUUAAGCACUAAAACAACAAAAUUAACAAUUGGGUUGCCUCCCAAAAGCGCCUUUCUUUAACGUCUUUGACUAGACGUAGCCCAAAAAUUUACUUAAACUAAGCAAAUAGGGUCUUCCAAGUGCAUCAUCUACACCCGUUCAAUUGGAACCCCUUCAUAAUACGGCUUGAGACGAUGACCAUUCACUACAAAUUUCUUCUCAGUCUUCAAACUUUGGAUCUCUACUGCACCAUAAUGAAAGACAUUAGUCACAACAAAAGAACCAAUCCAACGAGAACGUAAUUUACCUGGAAAUAACUUCAAUUUGGAGUGGUACAGUAGAACUUUUUGCCCACACUCGAAUGUCUUCCUUGAGAUCUGUUGGUCAUGAAAAAUCUUAUUCCUCUCCUUAUAAAUUAUCGCAUUCUCAUAAGCUUCAUUGCGAAUCUCCUCCAACUCCUGUAAUUGUAACUUCCUUUGAAUUCCGCCCUCCUCAAUAUCCAUAUUGCAUCGCUUAACCGCCCAAAAUGCUUUAUGCUCGAACUCCACUGGAAGAUGGCAAGGCUUACCAAAUACCAACCUAUAGGGAGACAUCCCUAUAGGUGUCUUGUAAGCGGUCAUGUAUGCCCACAAGGCAUCUUCCAACCUUGAAUUCCAGUCCUUCCUAUCAGGGCGGACCAUCUUUUCCAAAAUAGACUUUAUUUCUCUAUUCGAGACUUCAGCCUGACCAUUGGUCUGUGGAUGGUAGGAAGUGGAAACCUUAUGAAGUACACCAUACUUCCUGAACAAAGCAGCAAUUGUUUUGUUGCAAAAAUGCGUCCCCCUAUCACUCACAACUGCCCGUGGCAUUCCAAAUCGUACAAAAAUAUUAGACUUUAUGAAAUCUGCAACCACCUUAGAAUCAUUAGUGCGGGUGGCUUUUGCUUCCACCCACUUCGAGACAUAAUCCACUGCUAGUAAAAUGUAUAAAAAUCCACAAGAAUUUGGAAAGGGACCCGUGAAAUCUAUACCCUAAGUAUCAAAAAUUUCAAUGAAAAGCAUGGGCACUUGUGGCAGUUGAUCCUUUCGGGAUAAAUUUCCUACCCUCUGACAUUUAUCACAUGUCUUACAAAACAAGUAAGCAUCCUUAAAUAAGGUAGGCCAAUAAAAUCCACUUUCCAACACUUUUCUAGCAGUCCGUUUAGGUCCAAAAUGACCCCCACAUGCAAAAGAGUGACAGAAAGUCAAUAUAGAUUGGAAUUCACUUUCACUUACACAUCGCCUCAUUAUUUGGUCAGCACCUUGUUUCCAAAGAUAGGGAUCAUCCCAGACAUAGUACUUUGCAUCGCUUCUUAGUUUGUCCUUUUUCGUCUUGGGCCAACCUGCGGGCAAUUUGUCAGUAACCAAAUAAUUCACAAUAUCUGCAAACCAAGAAGGGGAUGAAUUAAUAGAAAGUAAAUGUUCUUCAGGAAAAGACUCCCUUAAUGGUAAUUCCUCCUCCGCUACCAAUAAUCGACUUAGGUGGUCAGCUACUAGAUUCUCUGCUCCUUUUUUAUCUCUGAUUUCCAAGUCAAAUUCCUGCAGGAGCAAUAUCCAUCUUGUCAAACGGGGUUUAGCGUCCUUCUUGGUCAGCAGAUACCUCAAAGCUGCAUGGUCAGAAUACAUAAUUACUUUAGCACCUAGCAAAUAAGGUCUAAACUUUUCUAAAGCAAAAACAACAGCUAAGAGUUCUUUCUCCGUAGUGGAGUAAUUGAGUUGGGCGCCAUUUAAAGCUCUAGAGGCGUAAUAUAUUGCGUGCGCCGCUUUCUCCAUCCUUUGUCCCAAAACUGCUCCUACGGAGUGGUCGCUGGCAUCACACAUAAUUUCGAAUGGGAGAUUCCAAUCAGGGGGUUGGAUGACAGGUGAAGAAGUGAGUAGUUUUUUCAACUUCUCGAACGCUUCUUUGCACUCCUCGUUGAAUUCAAAACUGACAUCCUUUUGCAAAAGCCUGAAAAGUGGUGCCCCGAUCUUUGAGAAAUCCUUGAUAAAUCUGCGACAGAAACCUGCAUGUCCUAGAAAAGAACGAACUUUCCGUACAGUUACGGGGUAAGGUAAAGCAGAUAUCACAUUUAUUUUAGCUUUAUCAACCUCAAUUCCUCUAGACAACACUACAUGUCCUAGAACUAUCCCGUGCUCAACCAUGAAGUGACAUUUUUCCCAAUUGAGUACUAGGUUAGUCUCAAUGCAUCUUUUUAAAAUCAAUGUCAGGUUAUCUAAGCAAUCGUCAAAACUAUCACCAUAGACACUGAAGUCAUCCAUGAAUACCUCAAUUAUUCUCUCCACAUACUCAGAAAAAAUGCUAAUCAUGCACCUCUGAAAUGUUGCAGGGGCAUUGCACAAUCCAAAUGGCAUCCUUCGAUAGGUAAAAGUGCCAAAGGGGCAAGUGAAAGUUGUUUUCUCUUGAUCCUCUGGUGCAAUUGCUAUCUGAAAAUAGCCAGAGAAACCAUCUAAAAACAAUAAUAUGCACGACAAGCUAACCUUUCAACCAUUUGAUCGAUGAAUGGAAGAGAAAAAUGAUCCUUCUUGGUCACCGCGUUUAAUUUGCGGUAAUCGAUGCACUGGCGCCAACCCGUAGGCUUUCGAAUUGGAACGAGGUCCCCUUCAUGAUUUUCUUCCACAGUUACCCCUGCUUUCUUUGGCACCACUUAGACUGGACUCACCCAUGGGCUAUCUGAGAUAGAAAAAAUAAUUCCUACGUCCAGAAGCUUGAUUACUUCUUUCUUGACCACUUCCAUCAUGAUGGGGUUCAAUCUCCUUUGUGGUUGUCUUAUCGGCCUAGCAUCCUCUUCCAGGCGAAUUCGAUGCAUGCACACGGACGGUCUUAUACCCUUUAUGUCCGCAAUUGUCCAACCUAUAGCUUCCUUAUGCUCCCUUAAAACCCGAAGUAGCUUAUCAUCCUCCCUGGGUGAUAAUUUGGAUGAGAUUAUCACUGGUAACGUCUCUUUUUUGCUUAGAUAGGCAUACUUUAAAUGUUCGGGCAGAGGUUUUAACUCCACUUCAGGUGCCUGCACGAUAGAAGGUAAUAGCUUUAGGUGUGGUUCAGGCACGAAUAUAGGAGCGACAUCAUACCUUAGAGAACUUUGGCCUAGUGAAUGCAAGGCUCCAACCAUUCUUUGCAAACUGACAUCUAACUCCAUUUCACAAGUUGCUUCCAGAUCCAAAUGUUUGGUGAUUGCUGUCUCCAAUUCAUCCCUGCCAUUAAUCUCAAAUACUUCUUGCACCAAAGGGUCAAUUACACUCACAGCGAAAAUAGCAUUAGAAUGACAAGGAUAUCUCAUGACCUCAAAUAUAUUAAAAUGAACUAUUUCUCCAUCAAAUUCCAUCGUCAGGGUGCCCUCACUAACAUCAAUUUUUGUACGAGCCGUGCUCAAGAAGGGCCUCCCCAACAAAAUUGGUAAUGGAUUUGGAGAACGUUCAUCACCCAUAUCAAGAAUAUAAAAAUCAGCAGGGAACACUAAAUUGUUCACUUGCACUAACACAUCUUCUAUCACCCCAUCGGGAUAAGCAUUAGUCCUAUCAGCCAAUUGAAUUAUAAUGCCAGUUUCCUUUAAGGGACCCAAAUUUAGCGAAGCAUAAAUAGUCUUGGGCAUCACAUUAUAGAGGCUCCUAGAUCUAACAUGGCAUUCCGAAUGCUAGUGUUCCCUAUUUUACAAGGGAUAGUGAACAUACCUGGGUCUCCACACUUGGGCGGAAGUUUUCUUUGAAGCACUGCGGAUACGUUCUCUCCCACAAUUAUCCUUUCAUCUCCCCUCAAUUUCUUCCUAUUGAUGCAUAGGUCCUUCAAAAAUUUGGCAUACCGGGGUACUUGCUUAAUUGCGUCAAGUAAGGGGAUAUUUAUCUCCACCUUUCUAAACAUCUCCAGAAUUUCCUUUUCCUUGUCUUGCUUUUUAGGCAUUUCCAACCUGCUAGGAAAAGGUGGUGGGUUAGGCUUAACUGGAACCACUGGGUUACGUAUUACCUCUUUAUUGGUGCCGGACGUUCCUUCUUCCUCAAGCUCCUUCUCAAUGCGGUCCUCAUUCUUGUCCUUCGGAGCCACCGGUGCUGGUCCUUCAACCUCUUUCCCACUCCUGAGGGUCAUUGCACUUACAUUCUUGGGAUUCACCUCAGGUUGGGAUGGAAGUUUUCCCUUUCCCUAGGAGUCCAGUCGGUUGACAAUUGAGGCCAAUUGACUCAUCUGAUUUUCCAAGUUUUGCAUACGUGCCUCCAUCUCUUGACUGCUGGCUUCAGUGUCCUGCUGAAAUUUCAUAGUGUUAGAGGCUAUGGUUUUAACCAUGUCUUCUAAGGACAUACCUGGGUUAGAGGAAGGUUGAUUCUUUGUUUAAUAUUGUUGCUGGAAGCCCUGUUGUCUAUUGGGGGUGAAAUUUUGUUGCUUAUUUCCCCCAUAACUCAGAUUUGGAUGAUCCCUCCAACCCGGAUUGUAUGAGUUGGAAUAGGGGUCAUACUGUCUACGUGGCAUGGGCAUGUUACCAGCCAUGUUUGCUUGCUCAAUUCCCUCCUCUUGUAACUGUGGGCACGAGUCAGUGGUAUGACCAAUGUUCGUACAAAUCCCACACACUUUGGCCUGCUGUACAUUUCCUACAGCUAUCUGUCGAACAAAUGAGGUUAAUUCAGAUAACUGCUAUUGAAUGGAAGAUGAGCUUACCUCGUUGACCUUCCUCGUAGGAACAUCCUCUCUUGUACCAAACUGCUGGCAGUUCUCUGCCAUUCGCUCGAUUAGUUCCCAAGCCUCUUGGGUAGUCUUAUUCACCAGUGCGCCUCCACUUGCUGCAUCAAUGAUAUUUCUAUCGUUCAUCAGUAGCCCCUCGUAGAAGUACUGAAUCAGCAGUUGAUCACUUAUUUGGUGUUGAGGGCAUCGGGUGCGCAGCCUGGUGAACCUCUCCCAAUAUUCAUACAAGGAUUCCCCGUGAAAUUGUUUGAUGCCACAUAUUUCCUUUCGCAAACUAGCAGCUCUGGACGCAGGGAAAUAUUUUUCAAAAAUUUUUUUCUGCAUCUCUGGCCACGUGGUGAUAAUGCCUGCAGGUAGACAGUAUAACCAGUCUUUUGCCAAAUCCUUGAGAGAAAAAGAAAAGGCCCUUAACUUAAUUUGUUCAUCAGUUACUCCCAAAGGCUUCAUACUCGAACACACCACAUCAAAUUCCUGCAUGUGUUUGUGGGGUUCCUCACCUGACAGACCAUGAAAAGUAGGCAACAAAUGUAUUAGACCAGGUUUUAAUUCAAAAGCUACAUUUUCACUAAGGCGAGGGAAAGUUAUGCAGAGAGGUUGUUGGGUCAAGUUUGGAGCGGCCAACUCCCGUAUUGUUCGUGCAUUUGCCAUGGUGACUUCCUCCUAGUCCGAAUCACUCGAGUGAUCACUAUGCAGAUUUAACGAUUCCACCUCCGGAUCCAGUCCUUGAGAUGUACCACUGGGCUGCUCCUCUCUGAGCUGUCUAGUCUCUUUCCUAGUUCGGCUUGCAGUCUUCUCUACUUCAGGGUCAAAAAUUAAAUCGCCUGUACGAGAAGAACGAGGCAUAAACUAGAGAAAUAUCAGAAAGAAAGAAAGAAAGCAAAAACAGAUUAGAUUUAAAAAGGAACAAAUAAUUAACGUCAGUCCCCGGCAACGGCGCCAAAAAUUGACAGGUGCCGAACCUGUGCAAUAAUAAAUACUUGCUCAAGCAAAAUACAACUUCUGUAGACAGUGAUAAGUAGGGUCGAAUCCACAGGGACUAGUGAUAUUUGUUUCUUUUAAAAUUCCAAUUGGAAUAAGGGGGAUUUUAUCGGAGUUAAACUAAAAAUAAUUAAAUAAUUCACUGGAACAAAUGAUUAACUAGCAUGAAUACGAAAAGGAAUUAAAUCAAGAAUAUAUAAAAAUUCUAGCCAAGGAUACAACUACUCAGGCACAGUCCAAUUAUCCGAUCAUUGAUGCAAAAGAGGUUCACUUAAUGUAUUAAUAGGCUAGUUAUAGCCGUUGACGAAGUCUGACAACCAAUUUUUCCUUAAUUUAUUGAUAACCAAGGUACGACCGUUGAUUACCCCUAAUCAGAAAAUACUCCUAGGUACAACCAUAGGAAUUAAUUUUCCAAUUGCAUUAACAACUAGAAAAACCUAGCCCUAAUCAAUAACACGCUACGAGGGUUAUUUAAAUUAGAUUGCACGCUCCCAUGAUGUGUAAACACACCAGUUGCCACUAAUAUUAAUCAAUCAAACAAUUACGGAUUUAAUUGACUAAAUUGACACGAGAUUAAUAAAUCACAUUGAACAUCGGCCCUUGACAUCCAAUUAAUAAAUAAAUCCCAUGAGAAUUCAAGCAGAUAGCAUGCAAAUAUUAAUAAAUUGAGGAACGCGUGGAGACUAAUUAGAUCUCACAGAAUUUCGGGACUGCGCCGUCGAGUUGACCCUUGACUAGAUUGAAGGUUUAGCCACGCCGCAUAAUUAAAUCACCACACGAAUUAAAUGAUUGCAACGGCAUUGCCUUUUUACUAGAAAGCAAGGAAUAAAAGAUGUUUUCCCGUUGGAGAAUAUUGUCAAACACCUGGCGUGUGUCAGAGGCCAGUCAGAGAGAAAAAGAAAGAAAACUAAAAACUGAACUAAAAGCUAAAAACUCUCCGCUUGCUUCUGUCCGUUCCUUACUUAUAGAGAAACAAAAAGGAAGUUGACUAAAAACUAUCUAGUCUCUGGUCCCACCGUAAUUGGGAAGCAAGCAAAAGAUUACAAGGAAAAAGCUUCUCCUCGUGUGUUUCUCUCAAAAGCCCAAUUGAAGAAAAGCCUUUGCUUCUUCGUGGUCCCCGCUGAUGUCCCUCUUAAAAGCCAAAGGAGAUUACUAAUGCUCUCUCCCGUAGGACUUGAGCCAAUGAAGUACACAAGGUGGGCCCUUAGCCCAAUUGUCUUUUGUUUCCUUUCUUUUUGGUAGUUUUCUGCUCCAUUCCUGGAAUUAGACCCAAGUACCAAAUAUAAGUAGAUAUCGGCAAUUAACACAAUAUUUUAUAGGUAUAACAGGGGAAAUGAGUAAUAAAAUUACUAUCAAAUAAUGCCCUAUCAGCAAGCAGGCCCAUAGUCGUUAAGAUUUAAGACAUUGCACAAUACAUCUUUUUUGACAUGGUAAGAAAAACUUUAAACUGGCUUAAUGAACUAUCAAUGAUUGAUUGGAUGAAGAUAACUCCUGCUUUGAUUAUGACUUUUUGUUAAUGAAGCUGAGGUGAAAAUUAAUUAGUCAAAUGAAUGAUACAUAAUGCAAAACAUUAGGAAUUUAACUUCCAAUUGUGCCUUCCCAUAAUGCAAAAGAUCACAAUAGAUAGAUUAGAUAUUCAUAAACCUAUUUCGUCUCUGGUCUCCUUUAUAAGCUCAUUUUCAUGGAUCGUAUAAUUUCUUCAUUACUGAGCUAUCACUUUUUAAUCCCAGCUUUCACUGUUUGAAAAGCAUUGGUAUCAAUACUUGGGUCGUGGUCGAUAUGCGUAAACUGUAAGCUGGUGGAAGCUUACUGACCAUUUCGGUUGGCAUAUUAAAUCAAGGUUGAAAAAUAAAAAUUUCUAAAUUAUUAUUUAAUAGGUUUUUCAAGUUAAGGUCUUAGUAACUCUAUUUAAGUCAAGUUAUCGUAGUUUUAUUAUCAAGGAAUUAGUAUUUUAUUAGAAGAUUUAUUAUGAUUGUAAGACUUAUUUACUAAAUCAUCUAGUCUACAAAUAGGGAGUCUUAUUGUUAUUAUUAGUUAUGGAGGAAAAUUUGAUAGUCUUGUUAUUAUGAUGCGUAUUUAAUAUAUUGUUGUAGGUAUUAUUUUUUUUCUCCCACAGAUACUCUUUUGUGUGUAAAUUACCUCUCUAUGUACAUUAUUUCUAUGAAAUUUAUCUCCUAUCUUUAUUGGGUUGUACAAUUUAUGUAUUAAGUUCUGACAACGAAGUUUAGCUCAUUUCCGGAUUUCCCUCGAAAAUAUACCAAGAAAAUCAGGCCCCAUUAGUUCCAAUUGUUUGAGCUAUAUAAGCAAAACAACAAGAAUCUGUCACAGCUCAAACAUGUUCCCAAUCCAAAGAAACUUUUAUCAUUCAAUCAUCAGUUUGUUGCCAAUUAAUCCACCUUUGCCUUCACAGUUCAUUGAAAGCCCGAAUACCAUGUGGGGAUGGAUUUCGUUCAUCAACAUCAGUAAAAAAUUUUCUCCUACUCUUAGUUGCCAUGAGCUUUUCAGUAAACCAUGCUUCAGCUGCAAAACUGUUUCGAAAUGAGACUGAUCGACUUGAUCUGCUUGAAUUCAAGAAUCAGAUAUACGUUGACCCGCUUGGAGUGCUGAACUCUUGGAACCGUGGAAUGCAGAAAUUGUGAGAGUAGUUGACUUAAAAUUAUAGACUUAAAAAGUCCGUCAAUAGCAACUGUUUGGUCCUUCCUGGAAAGUAGUUGAGUGAAGUGGACAAGUCAUUUAGCAGACAGAUUGUCAUAGACAUGAAAGAAUAAUAAAUUGUGGCCCACGAAUAUAGAAAUUGUGAGGGUCUGAAAAUUGAAUAAUCUCCCGAUGCUCAAAAUUUGUCGAUAGAAAAAUUUCUUUGUUGCCUCUCCCAAACACAUUGAGAUUCUCAGCUGAAGUAGAAAGGGAGGCGAAAGACCAAAACAAAGCAAAACGGACAAUGUCAUCCCAAAGUAUUUGUCAGAGUGUAAUUUACUUCAACAAAAUCCAGUGCCUCCUUCAAGUCAUGCUCAGGGCAUGCAAGGAACAACAAAAACUAAGAGUUCAUGGCUACUGAGUGCCAGAUUGACAAACAAAGCCUCGUACGGGAAGCUUUCUACUGUUUCCUAAGAAGAACAGAACAUCACGUCCAGUUCUUUGACAGGCUUGAAAUCUAUGCCCUAAGGAAUGAGAUAGAAUACACAUUCUCAUCGUUCAUUUCUGUCUCAAGAAAAUGGCAAACUUCAGAAGGAGAAAUUCACAAAGAAAUUCAUCCACCAAAACCCAUUACUUUCUCAUACAAAUCCCUUUUGGUGGAAGUCGAUGUGGUAAUCCACUUGUAUAUGGUCAUGUCUUUACUCAUAAUUUUGCUUUUUCAAGAAAUUAAUUUGUUUUACCUAAAAAAUCAAAAACUAAUAGCGGGGUCAAUGACAGGUGUCGAGCCUGUGCAAUAAUAAAUACCUACUUGAGAAAAAUAAAUUUUCUUUGUAUAGUAGUGAGUAGGGUCGAAUCCACAGGGACUGGGAAAAAUUCGAUUCUUUUCAAGUUCGGGACACGGGGGAUUUUUUUCAGAAAUAAACUAAAAAUAAUUAAACAAUUUAACCAAAAAUAAUUAAUUAAUUAAUACGAAUGUAAAUAGCAAUUAAAUAAAUAAUAAAUAAAUUCUAGCCAAGGAUACAACUACGCAGACACAGUCCAUUCAUCCGAUCAUUGAUGCAAAGAAGGUUCACUUAAUUUUAUUAACAGGUUAGUUAUAGUCGCCGAUAAACUCUAACGACCAGCUUUUCCUUAAUUUAUUGAUAACCAAGGUACGACCGUUGAUUACCCCUAACCAGGAAAUACUCCUAAGUACGACCGUAGGAAUUAAUUUCCUAAUUGCAUUAAAAACUAGAAAAGCCUAACCCAAAUUAAUAACACGCUACGAGGGUUAUUUAAAUCAAAUUGCAUGUUCCCCUAGUAUGUGAAAAUACUAGUUGCCACUAAUAUUAACCAAUUAAAUUACGGAUUUAAAUGAUUAAUUUGACAGGAGAUUAGAGAGUCAAAUUGCACAUCGGGCCCUUGAUAUCCAAUUAACAAAAUAAUCCCAUGAAAAUUGAAAUAGAAAACAUGCAAAUAUUAACAAAUUAAGGAACACGUAAAAAUUAAUUAGAUCUCACAGAUAUUUGGGACUGCGUCUUUGCGUUGAUCCUUGACUAGAGGAGAAAAUUAGCCACUCCUCAUAAGAAAAUUCCCACGCAAUUUAAUUGGAAUCAAAUACAUAAAUAACUAACUAAGAAUUUAGAAAGAAACUUGAGUCUCCGUAGACUCUUUGAAGAAAAGUUGCACACCACACAACAAGAGAAGGAAGAACUCCUUCUCUGAAAACCAAAAACUACCUCUAUCCUCCUACGGAGCUUAUUUGGAGAGAAAACUAAAACUAGUCUAAUGUCUUAUGAAGCUCUCGUCUAAUUCUCCUCUGCACUAGUUUCAUAAGAGUAACUCUGCACUAGUUUCAUAAGAGAACUAGUUACGUAGGAAGCAAAUAGAAAAGCUACUUUCAUCAUCAAAGUCCACCUAUGGCUAAUGAGUACAUCUCCCGAAAGAGGAACACAUUUUCUAAAUCAAUGUUACGUGGUCCCCGCAGAAUUCUCACCUUUUUGAUUUCUUAUUGCUAGUGGACUUGCCAGGACUUAAUAAUAGGAAGGCAACUCUUCAUCAGCAAUUCCGUUGGUUUGCACAAUUUGGGCUGAUUGUGGAAAGCUUUUAGAAGCUUUCACGUGUGGAGAAAUCUUCUCAAGAAGGUCCCCUUUUAGCACUUUUCUGCUCCACUUUCUGAAAUUAUAUCCAAAUACCAAAUAUAAAUAUAUAUUGAUAAUUAAAGCAAUAUUUGGCAAGGAUAAAGAGGAGAAUUAACAAUAAAAUUACUAACAAUUAACACCCUAUCAAUUCCCCCCACACUUAAAUCAUGCUUGUCCUCAAGCAUGGGAACACUAAACUCAACAAUGGCUAACUCUCAUUUCAUUUACUGCCAAGCUACGCUUAUCCCAAAAUCAAGUUUUAGUGGCUAAAUGUCAAGAUAUAUUUCUCCCGGUUAGCUCCUGAAAUCAUAGACUCGUCCAAUUCAUUGCUAAGUCGUCUAAGAAAUCAAAAUAUUAAACUAGCAAAAGUUAGCAAUUGGGUCAACUGAAAAUCAAAAUCUCAACAUUGAAGAACAAGGAUCGGCAGGCCAACAUGAUCAUAAGCUUACUUAUUAUUUUCUUUUCUCUUUUUUCUUUUUUUUUCUUUUUUUUUGAUAAUAAUUUUUUAUAUAUAUAUUUUUUUUUUCAAUAAAUGCUCAGUCCCAAGCUAUUCAAGUCUUUUGACGUGAACACUGACAUUUUUAGAUGAAAGAGCCCAGUUACUCAACUCUUUACAGCUUCAGGACUAACUACUCAUAGAUAUAGCCACUUUUUGACGCGAAAGUCGACACUUGUGGUGAAGACUCCCGGUUACUGGGUGACGACACUAGCGGAGUAGGGUCAUUUAUUAAUCACAAUUAAAGCACCAAAAUACCAGGCAGUUAAAUAUCAUGGCCCACGUCAUCUCCUAACAUGGAGAACUGAAAUCAACAAUCGCCCAAUCCACACAACAAUUACUAGUAAAAUAUUUAUAUUUCCUAAACAAGUUAACCACAAUUUGCACCAAGUCAUUAAACUCAAGAUAUUCACCAAGGCAAUAUGCUUUUACUUGCCAUCUAAACAAAAUUCAUGGGAUAAAUCACAACCAGCAAUAGAAGAGUGAGUUGCCAUAUUUAUUCAUCAAGACAAGAAUAAGAAAAACAACAAUUUAAAGAAACUCCAAUCAAAUCCAAAUCUCCCCCCACACUUAAAGCACACAUUGCCCUCAAUGUGACAAUUAAACAGUAAAAGUAAGAAGAAGGGCAACGAAACUCCCCUGAAGUUGUCAAAACAGCGGCAGGUUAAGCGGAAGUUGAGGUUCAACACCCACGUGGUGCAUAAACGCCGCCAAAUUCUGCGCCAUGCUAUGCACAUUCGCAUCAAUAUUGGUUACCUAAGCCUCUAGUUUCUGAACUCGCAUCUGGAGUUGGUGCCAGUCAUCAGUCCUUGGGGUUGGAGGAGGUGGAGCGGACGUCGAAGGGCCGGGGUCACCAUUUUUUCAAAUAUCACUCCACCUUUCAAAAAUGGACAGGUGGUAAUGCACGUCAAAGAGGAAAGGGCGACGGCGGAGAUGCACGCGAGCUGGUGGCGGAAGAGCUGGGGUGGAUUGGUGGUGCACAGAGGUGAACAGCCGCGUGGUGAGAGAGGGGAAAGGUCACGCUGUCCGUGGCUAACAGCGAUGGUUACUCGCUUGGUGCGAUGGAGGAGCUUGGACGCGAGGGAAGAGUGGUUAAGUGGGUGACGGUCUUCGCUGGUGGAGGUGCGCGAGCUAACUCGAGCUGGCUUGCAAGUGGAGCAAGCGGCGUCGCAGGUGGGCAGGAGAAGAGAGAGGUUGUGGCUGAACGGAGGAGCUCGCAGGGGAGGAAGAGCUGCUGGCGGUGCGCGGUGCUGCGCUGGGCAGAGCUGGCGGCGAGCAGAGUGGAAGAGAGGGACGGUGGCGGCAGUUUGUGAGUUGCUAACGGGUGGAUGUGCACGAGCUCUGUGGAGAGCUCGCGAUGUGGCGUGCUUGUCGUGGCUGGACGAGCGGAAGAGCUGCGAUGAAGGUGCAGCGGCUGGCGGAGCUUGCGAGGAAGAAGAAGAAGCAGGCAACGGGGAAGAAGAAGAAAGAAAGAAAGGAAAGAAAGAAAAGAAAAAGAAGGAAAGAAAAAGAAAAGAAAGAAAAGAGAAAAAGAAAGGGAAAAAAAAAUAUUUUUUUUUAUUGCAAAAAUUUGAAUUUUUGAAAACAAAACUGAAGGCUAAAAGAAAAAUAUUUUUAUUUUUUAUUUUUCUAAUUUUUAAAAUUUUUUUUUAGAAAAAAAUAAAUAAAUAAAUAAUUUUUUUUUUAAAAAAUUUCUUUGUUCUGGUUCGUCAAACAUGGCGUGGGCACGCCAAGAUUAAAAAACAUCUACUGAUCUUGGGAAUCAGUUUUUGAACAUUAAUGCGUGCCCUCUCUGCACGGGUACGCCAAGAUUCCACUUCGGAAUGUUGAGAUUUUACUAACAUGGCGUGGGCACGCCAUGUUUUAGAAACAUCCUCUGACCUUGAAGUUGAAACUUGUAAGAUUAAUGCGUGCCCUCCUUGCGUGGGCACGCCAUGAUCACCUGUCCUGGUCAUAGUAGAGAAAAUAUCAAAUUUAAGUAAUACCCACGUGAGAAACGACAUAUUUAACGAAUUGAACAACAAAAACAAACAAAAUAAAAAAUUGGGUUGCCUCCCAAAAGCGCCUUUCUUUAAUGUCUUUGGCUAGACAGAGUCCAGAAUUUGCUUAAACUAAGCAAAUCGGGUCUUCCAGUUGCAUCAUCUCCACCCGUUCAAUUGGAAAUCCUUCAUAAUACGGCUUGAGACGGUGACCAUUCACCACAAAUUUUUUCUCCGUUUUCAAACUCUGGAUUUUCACUGCACCAUAAUGAAAGACAUUAGUCACAACAAAAGGACCAAUCCAUCGAGAACGUAAUUUACCUGGAAAUAGCUUCAAUUUGGAGUGGUAUAGUAGAACUUUUUGUCCAUAGACGAAUGUCUUCCUUGAUAUCUGUUGGUCAUGAAAUACCUUGUUCUUCUCCUUAUAAAUCACCGCGUUCUCGUAUGCUUCAUUUCGAAUCUCCUCCAAUUCUUGUAAUUGUAACUUUCUUUGAAUUCCACCUUCCUUAAUAUCCAUGUUACAUUGCUUGACCGCCCAAAAUGCUCUAUGCUCAAACUCGACCGGGAGAUGACAUGGCUUUCCAAAUACCAAUCGGUAAGGGGACAUGCCAAUAGGUGUCUUGUAUGCCGUCCUAUAUGCCCAUAGUGCAUCCUCUAGUCUCAUACUCCAAUCCUUCCUAUCGGGUCGGACCAUUUUCUCUAGAAUCGACUUGAUCUCUCGGUUCGAUGCUUCCGCUUGACCAUUUGUCUGAGGAUGAUAGGAUGUAGAGACUUUGUGCAAGACACCGUAUCUCCUAAAAACUGCGGCAAUUGUCUUGUUACAGAAAUGAGUACCCCGAUCACUUACAAUUGCUCGCGGCAUCCCAAAGCGUACAAAAAAUGUUAGCCUUGAUAAAUUCUGCAACCACUUUGAAAUCAUUAGUGCAGGUGGUCUUUGCUUCCACCCACUUCGAAACAUAAUCUACAGCAAGCAAUAUAUACAAAAAAUCAAAGGACGAUAAAAAAGGACCCAUAAAGUCAAUACCCCAAACGUCAAAAAUUUCAACAAAAAUCAUUGGGGUUUGAGUCAUUUGAUCCCUACGAGAGAUAUUACCCACUCUUUGACACUUAUCACAUGACUUACAAAAUGAGUAGGCAUCCUUGAAUAGAGUUGGCCAAUAGAAUCCACUCUCUAGCACCUUACGAGCCGUUCUCUUCGGUCCAAAGUGACCUCCACAUGCAAAAGAGUGACAAUAGGCUAGAAUAGAUUGAAAUUCAGCUUCACUUACACAUCUACGGAUGAUUUGAUCGGCACCCCACUUCCAGAGAUAAGGAUCAUCCCAAAUGUAAGAUUUUGCAUCGCUUCUCAACUUGUCUUUCUUUGCCUUAGGCCAUCCUGUAGGAAAUUUGUUAGUGACUAGAAAAUUAACAAUAUCUACAUACCAAGGCAAAGAUGAAUUAAUAGAAAAUAAAUGCUCCUCGGGGAAUGCUUCUCUCAAUGGGAUGUCAUCUUCGACGACUUGUACUCGACUCAAGUGAUCUGCUACCAGAUUCUUCGCUCAUUUCUUAUCUCGGAUCUCCAGGUUGAACUCUUGUAGCAACAAUAUCCACCGUAUCAAUCGCAGUUUUGCCUCUUUCUUGGUCAACAGAUACCGCAAAGUUGCAUGAUCAGAAAAAAUAAUAACUUUAGCACCAAGUAAAUAAGAUCGAAAUUUCUCUAAGGCAAAAACAACUGCUAAAAGCUCCUUUUCGGUGGUUGAAUAGUUCAAUUGAGCUCCGUUCAAGGCUCGAGAUGCGUAGUAGAUAGCAUGGGAUGCCUUUCCCACUCUUUGACCCAAUACCGCACCCACUGUGUAAGGCCCGAAAACAACCCUUUUCUAGGCGACCACACAAUGGAGCAGUUGAUAAGAAAGCACAAGUGCUUGUGAGUAGAAGAGAUAAACAAUUUAAAGAUCAUAAAUGUAACAAUAAGUAAAAGGAAAGAAUUGCAAACCAAUUAACUACCCAGUUCCUCUUGUGCUUCAAACAAGCUACUUCAAGUUGAUGAAUUACAAUCACUCUUGUGUACAAAGGAAGGUUCACCUCCUCCUUGCCCCGAACUCCCUCGGUCAAGCCAGGAAGUUUUACUAUCCCUCAGGACAACCCUCACAGAGCUACACUCAUGAAUUAUUCACUAACAAAUGAAAAGCUUACAAUGAACCUCACACCACUAAGACUACAAAUCUUCUUUGAAGAGUAUUUUCUCACUAAAAUCUCUCUAGAUCUUUUGUAUCUUCAGUGUGCCAAAGUUAUUUGAAGUGUCUGACCAACCACUAUUUAUAUAGGACCAAGAAAGUGCCUCAUUAAUGCUUCCAACGGAUAGAAAGUAGCUGAAUAGUCAACUAGCCGUUGGUAGUGUCGGACGUCCGAUAGCCCUGUUUUAUGCGUCCGACAGCAGGCAGUGAGUUUCAGAGAUUUUCUUCAAUUCUUUCGGACGUCCGGUGCAAGCUCUUUGUGCGUCCGACAGCAAACAAACAGAUUUGAGAAAUUAUCUUGUUUCUAUCGGACGUCCGGUAGAGACAUAUUCAGCGUCCGAUAGUUUCGUCGACUUCGAAGGAUUCUAUCGGACGUCCGAAGCAUGCGUCCGAAGUUGUGCAAUGAUUAUCGGACGUCCGAUCCUGACUUCUUGAGCGUCCGACAGUUUCAGCAUACUUUGUCAUCUUUCAAUUGUACUUGAUCUUUGGAACUAAUUUGCUUCAUAACUGAAUAGAUCUUUUAAGAGACAUUAGUAACAUCCAUUUGUUUUGUAAACAUCAAAAGAUAGGGAUCAAGAUCAACAAUCUCCCCCUUUUUGAUGAUGACAAAACAAUGGAUGGAAAGAAACAAAAAUAAGUAUAAGCUCCCCCUCAAUCAUUGCAACCAAAACUUUUAAGAGCCAAACUCAUAAUCUCAGAAUAACUCCCCCUUACACAUUGCAUCCAUUUCUCCCCCUUUUUGUCAUCAUAAGAGUAAAAAUCAACUACUAUAAUCCAGCAACAAUAACAGAGAAUUCAAUAUUCCAAGAAAAAAUAGAGAAAUGACAGCAAUCACAGCAAAUCAUCAUGAGAUCAGCAUUAUUCUUUUAUCUCUCUUUUUGACAUCAUAUAGAUUCAGUAGUAUUCAAAGAUAUCAGCGAAAACUCAGAUCAAAGUAUCAAAAGAAAAAAUAUUAUGAACAAGAAUCACUGCAAUGAUUAGAUAAAACCUCCUACUUGUUAAAAUUAGCAUCAUGUCUAACUAUCCACAUGCAUUUCAUGCCUCUUCUCAUAUUCUUUCUCACAUAACAAUCACUAUUCAUGUGACCUUUUUGACAACAAAAAUUACACAUAACCAAAGAGUUAUUUACAUGAACAGGUUUAAUAAAUCUUACUUGUCUUCUCCUAUGGAUAGCAAAUUCAUUUGAAUUAGAAUUCAACCUAUUCUUUUGAAAACAGACUUGUUUCUUGUGUUUAAGCAACUCAUUUAGACCAUCCAUUCUUCUUUUCAAAUCACCUUGUUCCUUUUUGAACUAAUCACAAAGUUAUGCUUUUCUAUCAAGCUCAAAAUGUAAAGCAGUCUCACUCUUUUUGAAGUAAUCAUUUUCAGCAAUGAACUUUUUGUUUUGUUGAAAAAGAUUUGCAUUAUCUCGAAACAAAAAACUAAUUUUCUGUUUUAACUCCUUAUUUCUAGCAUAAGAUUCUUUCAAACUAUCAUGCAAUUUUAUAAUGAAAUGUUCAAGAUCAUCUUCAGUUUCAUCAUCACAAUCAGAUUGAGAGUUAGAAGAUGUUACCUCAUCAUCUCCAAUGGCCAUGAAAGCCAAUUGAGCAGAUUGAUCUUCCUCUUCAAUUUCACCAUCGGAAUUGCAUUCAUUCCAUGUGAAUUGAAAUUUGUUUAUUCUUGGUUUUCUUCCUUCUUUCUUCUUCAUCACUGGACAGUCACUUGCAUAGUGUCCAGGUUGGCCGCAUUCAAAGCACUGAUCAGUUUGCUUUUUGUUGAACUCCAGCUUCCCUUUGUUUCUCGAGUUGUUGAACUGAUUUGGGAAUGAAUUGCUAGGUCCACCUUUUCUGAAUCUCCUCUUGUUGAGUAUUCGUUUGAAACUUUUUGUGAUGAGAACGAUAUCAUUGUCAUCACCUUCCACAUCUUCUUCAUCUAGGGAGGCAGAAUCAUCUUCAUCUUGUGAGGCUUUUAGAGCAAUAUUCUUUCGCACUUUUGCAUCCUCUUCCUCUUGCACCUUAGUCUUAAGUUUCAGCUCAUAAGACGUAAGAGAAUUAAUAAGAGAUUCAAUAGGCAUAGUAUUCAAAUCUCUAGUCUCCUCAAUAGCGGUCACUUUAUUUUCCCAAUCAUUGGACAAGGCAUUAAGGAUUUUUCUAUUUUUCUCACCAAGAGAAUAUUCUUUUUCCAGCACCUCUAAAUCUUUAAUGAGAUCAUUGAAUCUACAAUACAUUUGAUCAACAUUUUCAUGAGGUUCCAUCUUGAAAGAUUCAUACUUUGUAACUAGAAUGGACUUCUUUUGUUCUCUAACAUUCUCACUACCUUCAUGAAUUUCUUUCAGUUUGUCCCAAAUUUCUUUAGCUGACUUGCAACCCUUGACUCUAAUAGAUUCAUUUGAGUCUAAUGCACAAUAUAACACAUUCAUGGCUUUUGCAUUUAAGGUGAGAUGAGCUCUAUCCACAGCAGUCAGUUCACUUCUUGUUUUCGGUCUAGAUGCAUGAGUAUUUUCAUCUAUAAGAGAGGCAUCAUAUGGACCUUCACUAAUAAUAAACCACAAUUCGAUAUCAAUAGAUUGCGAAAAGAUAAUCAUUCUUUCUUUCCAACUCAUAUAAUUUGACCAAUUAAACAUAGGUGGUCUAAUAACAGAAUGUCCUUCAAAAAACAUAGCAUUAUUGGUUGUCAUUUUUACUCCCAAGCCGAUUGAGCUUAAUCUCAAGGAAACCUGGCUCUGAUACCAAUUGUAAGGCCCGAAAACAACCCUUUUCUAGGCGACCACACAAUGGAGCAGUUGAUAAGAAAGCACAAGUGCUUGUGAGUAGAAGAGAUAAACAAUUUAAAGAUCAUAAAUGUAACAAUAAGUAAAAGGAAAGAAUUGCAAACCAAUUAACUACCCAGUUCCUCUUGUGCUUCAAACAAGCUACUUCAAGUUGAUGAAUUACAAUCACUCUUGUGUACAAAGGAAGGUUCACCUCCUCCUUGCCCCGAACUCCCUCGGUCAAGCCAGGAAGUUUUACUAUCCCUCAGGACAACCCUCACAGAGCUACACUCAUGAAUUAUUCACUAACAAAUGAAAAGCUUACAAUGAACCUCACACCACUAAGACUACAAAUCUUCUUUGAAGAGUAUUUUCUCACUAAAAUCUCUCUAGAUCUUUUGUAUCUUCAGUGUGCCAAAGUUAUUUGAAGUGUCUGACCAACCACUAUUUAUAUAGGACCAAGAAAGUGCCUCAUUAAUGCUUCCAACGGAUAGAAAGUAGCUGAACAGUCAACUAGCCGUUGGUAGUGUCGGACGUUCGAUAGCCCUGUUUUAUGCGUCCGACAGCAGGCAGUGAGUUUCAGAGAUUUUUUUCAAUUCUUUCGGACGUCCGGUGCAAGCUCUUUGUGCGUCCGACAGCAAACAAACAGAUUUGAGAAAUUAUCUUGUUUCUAUCGGACGUCCGGUAGAGACAUAUUCAGCGUUCGAUAGUUUCGUCGACUUCGAAGGAUCCUAUCGGACGUCCGAAGCAUGCGUCCGAAGUUGUGCAAUGAUUAUCGGACGUCCGAUCCUGACUUCUUGAGCGUCCGACAGCUUCAGCAUAUUUUGUCAUCUUUCAAUUGUACUUGAUCUUUGGAACUAAUUUGUUUCAUAACUGAAUAGAUCUUUUAAGAGACAUUAGUAACAUCCAUUUGUUUUGUAAACAUCAAAAGAUAGGGAUCAAGAUCAACACACUGCAUAGUCGCUGGUAUCACACAUGAUCUGGAAUGGGAGGUUCCAAUCAGGGGGUUGGAUAAUAGGUGAGAAAGUCAAUAACUCCUUUAGUUUAUCGAAUGCCCCCUUACAUGUUUCAUCGAAUUCGAAGGAUACAUCUUUUUGCAAAAGUUGGAACAAGGGUGCUCCAAUUUUUGAGAAAUCUUUGAUGAACCUUCUAUAGAAACCUGCGUGACCCAAGAAGGAAAGAACUUCCCGCACACUCGCAGGGUAAGGUAAAGUAGAUAUAACAUCUAUUUUUGCCUUAUCAACCCCAAUACCUGUAGAUGAUACUACAUGACCCAAAACUAUCACGUGUUCAACCAUAAAGUGACAUUUUUUUCAAUUAAGCACGAGAUUAGCUUCUAUACACCUUACUAAGAUCAAUUUCAGGUUAUCUAGACAGUUUUCAAAGCUUUAACCAUACACACUAAAAUCGUCCAUGAAAACCUCAAUAAUCUUCUCAACAUACUCUGAAAAGAUACUUACCAUGCAUCUUUGGAAGGUAGCAGGUGCAUUGCACAAUCCAAAUGGCAUCCUUCGGUAUGCAAAUGUUCCAAAUGGGCAUGUGAAAGUAGUUUUCUCUUGGUCCUCAGGUGCUAUGGCAAUUUGAAAAUAACCUGAAAAUCAAUCCAAGAAACAGUAGUAAGCUCGACAUGCUAAUCGCUCUACCAUUUGGUCAAUGAAAGGGAGGGGAAAUGGUCCUUUUUCGUGACGGCGUUUAGCUUCCGAUAAUCGAUACACUGUCGCCAUCCGGUGGGCUUUCGAAUUGGUACGAGCUCACCCUCUUGGUUUGAUUCCACUGUUACCCCAGCCUUCUUCGGGAUCACCUAUACUGGACUUACCCACGGGCUAUCUGAUAUUGCAAAUAUAAUUCCAACGUCCAGAAGCUUUAAAAUCUCUUUCUUUACGACCUCCAUCAUGAGAGGAUUUAAUCUCCGUUGAGCUUGCUGUACGGGUUUAGCAUUCUCCUCGAGUCGAAUUCGGUGCAUACACACCGCGGGGCUAAUUCCCUUGAUAUCGGCGAUGGUCCAUCCUAUCGCCUGCUUAUGUUCCCUUAGAACUCGAAAUAGUUUAUUUUCUUGAAUCUUUGAUAAACCCGGGGAGAUGAUCACUGGAAGUGUCUCCCCUUCACCCAAGUAUGCAUACUUCAGGUGUUUUGGCAGCGGUUUCAGUUCCAAGACAGGUGCCUGUACCACAGAUGGAAGUAACCUUUUGUGAGGUUCAGGUAUAAAAAUGGGUGCGAGGUCAUACCUUGUCUUCGUGGUUGGUAACGUUCGCAACGAUCCAAUCACACAUUUGAGCUCUUCACUCAACUCUACCCCAGAGGUCGUUUCGGACUCGAAGUGCCUAGUUAAGGCGACCUCUAGCUCAUCCCUACCUUCAAUUUCAAAAACCUCCUGUAUAGUAGGGUCAAUAACAUUUAUCGAGAAAACAGAGCUAACAUUUGAAUCGGAUAGAUAUUUCAUGGUCUCAAAGAUGUUAAAGUGAACAAUCUCACCAUCAAAUUCCAUAGAUAAAGUACCCUUAUUAACAUCAAUUUUGGUUCGGGCUGUGCUCAAAAAGGGUCUACCUAACAAUAAAGGUGACGGAUCACGGGAGUUUUCAUCCUCCAUGUCGAGCACAUAAAAAUCAGAUGGAAAAAAAAAUUCAUUAAUUUUUACCAAAACAUCUUCAAUCAACCCGUCAGGGUAUGCAUUGGUCCUGUCAGCUAGUUGGAUUAUUAUUCCAGUCUCUUUCAAAGGGCCUAAGUUCAAGGAAGCAUAAAUAGAUUUCGACAUGACAUUAAUCGAUACUCCUAGAUCUAACAUGGUCUUUCCAAUCAAAAUAUUACCUAUCCUACAAGGAAUAGUAAACAUACCUGGGUCCCCGCAUUUCGGUGGAAGCUUCCUUUGUAGAAUUGCUGAAACAUUCUCCCCAACUAUAACUCAUUCAUCCCCCUUCAACCGCUUGCGGUUGGCACACAGGUCCCUCAAAAAUUUUGCGUACCUGGGUACUUGUUUAAUCGCAUCCAGUAGGGGUAUGUUGAUCUCCACCUUGUGAAAGAUCUCCAAGACCUCUUUUUCCUUGUCUUGCUUCUUUGGUUUCUCUAACCUGCUAGGAAAGAGAGGUGGAUUAGUUUUAAUUGUAGGAAUUGGGUUCGAGGGUACCUUUGCAUUUUUGUUGUCUCUGCCCUCCUCUUCUAAUUCUUUCUCGAUUCGUUCCUCGUCCUUGUCUUUAGGAAUCACGGGUUCGGGUCCUUGAACUUCCUUGCCACUCCUCAAGGUCAUUGCACUUACAUUCUUUGGAUUUACCUCAUAUUGAGAUGGCAACUUUCCUUGAACUUGGGACUCCAAACGGUUAAUUGUUAUAACCAUUUGAUUCAUUUGAUUUUGCAAUGACUGCACCUGUCCCAGUUGAUUUCUCAUGCUUUGCAGGUCUGAAUCCGUCUUUUGUUGAUUAGCAAGUAAUUGCUUCAUCAUCUCUUCCAUGGACGGACUUGAGUUUGAAGAGGGUGGUGGUGGGCGAGGAUGGUACUGCUGUGGGUUCCCUUGCUGUCUAUUUGGCACAAAAUUAGACUGCCUAUUCCCUCCAUAGCUAAGGUUGGGGUGAUCCCUCCAACCAGGAUUGUAGGUACUUGAGUAUGGGUCGUACUGCUUUCUUGGAGCAGACGCGUGGCCAGCCAUGUUCACCUGUUCUGCAAUUUCUUCUUGAACCAGUGGACACAUUUCCGUAGGAUGACCCACGGCAGUGCAUACCCCACACACUUUGGCUUGUGAUGCCCCCACAGCUAGUUGUCGCACAAAAGAUGUCAAUUCGGAGAGUUGCUGUUGAAUAGAGGAUGUUUCUACCUCAUUCACCAUACGCGUAGGAAUGUCCUCUCUUGAACCAAAUUGCUGUGAGUUCUCAGCCAUCCCUUCAAUUAACUCCCAUGCUCCUUGAGGAGUUUUGUUCACCAACGCCCCUUCACUUGCAGCAUCGAUUAUGCUUCUGUCUCUGAAAAGUAGUCCUUCAUAGAAAUAUUGGAUAAGCAGGUGUUCACUUAUCUGAUGCUGAGGGCAUUUGGUGUACAGUUUCUUAAACCUCUCCCAGUACUCAUGGAGAGAUUCGCUUGGGUGUUGUUUGAUGCCACAUAUCUCCUUCCUUAGGCUUGCAGCUCGAGAUACCGGAAAGUAUUUGUCCAAGAAUUUUUUUUUCAGUUGGUCCCACGUGGUGAUACUACCAGGUGGUAGGCAGUAGAGCCAGUCUUUUGCGGAGUCCUUCAAAGAGAAGGGGAAGGCCCUCAUCUUUAUUUACUCUUCUGUAAUUCCCGGAGGCUUCAUACUGUUGCAAACGACGUCGAACUCUUGCAAGUGCUAGGGCUCCUCACCUGGUAAUCCAUGGAAAGAUGGCAAGAGAUGAAUUAGACCAGAUUUUAGUUCAAAGGGAGUGUCAUAAUUUAAAUGUGGAAAAGUAAUGCACAAGGGCUGCUGAUUUAAAUCAGGAGCAGCCAACUCCCUUAGUGUUCGUGCAUUUGCCAUAGUGGCUUCCUCUUGAUCUGAAUCACUUGAAUUGUCACCAGACAAAUUUGUCGGCUCAACCUCUGGAUCAAGUUCCUGAGGUGCAAUACCGUAUUGCUCUUCUCUGAGCUGUCUGGUUUCUUUCCUCGUUCUACGCGCGGUCUUCUCUACUUCAGGGUCGAAAAUUAAUUCGCCUGUAAGAAAAAAGCGAGGCAUAAACUAGAAAAAUACCAGAAAAAAAUGAACUUAAAAAGAAACAAAUGAUUAACGACAGUCCCCGGCAACGGCGCCAAAAAUUGACAGGUGUCGAGCCUGUGCAAUAAUAAAUACCUACUCGAGAAAAAUAAAUUUUCUGUGUAUAGUAGUGAGUAGGGUCGAAUCCAUAGGGAUUGGGAAAAAUUCGAUUCUUUUCAAGUUCGGGACACAGGGAUUUUUAUCAGAAAUAAACUAAAAAUAAUUAAACAAUUUAACCAAAAAUAAAUAAUUAAUUAAUACGAAUGUAAAUAGCAAUUAAAUAAAUAAUAAAUAAAUUCUAGCCAAGGAUACAACUACGCAGACACAGUCCAUUCAUCCGAUCAUUGAUGUAAAGAAGGUUCACUUAAUUUUAUUAACAGGUUAGUUAUAGUCGCCGAUAAGCUCUAACGACCAGCUUUUCCUUAAUUUAUUGAUAACCAAGGUACGACCGUUGAUUACCCCUAAUCAGGAAAUACUCCUAGGUACGACCGUAGGAAUUAAUUUCCUAAUUGCAUUAAAAACUAGAAAAGCCUAACCCAAAUUAAUAACACGCUACGAGGGUUAUUUAAAUCAGAUUGCAUGUUCCCCUAGUAUGUGAAAAUACUAGUUGCCACUAAUAUUAAUCAUUUAAACAAUUACGAAUUUAAAUGAUUAAUUUGACAGGAGAUUAGAGAGUCAAAUUGCACAUCGGGCUCUUGAUAUCCAAUUAACAAAAUAAUCCCAUGAAAAUUGAAAUAGAAAACAUGCAAAUAUUAACAAAUUAAGGAACAAGUAAAAACUAAUUAGAUCUCACAGAUAUUUGGGAUUGCGUCUUCACGUUGAUCCUUGACUAGAGGAGAAAAUUAGCCACUCCUCAUAAGAAAAUUCUCACGCAAUUUAAUUGGAAUGAAAUACAUAAAUAACUAACUAAGAAUUUAGAAAGAAACUUGAGUCUCCGUAGACUCUUUGAAGAAAAGUUGCACACCACACAACAAGAGAAGGAAGAACUCCUUCUCUGAAAACCAAAAACUACCUCUAUCCUCCUACGGAGCUUAUUUGGAGAGAAAACUAAAACUAGUCUAAUGUCUUAUGAAGCUCUCGUCUAAUUCUCCUCUGCACUAGUUUCAUAAGAGUAACUCUGCACUAGUUUCAUAAGAGAACUAGUUACGUAGGAAGCAAAUAGAAAAGCUACUUUCAUCAUCAAAGUCCACCUAUGGCUAAUGAGUACAUCUCCCAAAAGAAGAACACAUUUUCUAAAUCAAUGUUACGUGGUCCCCGCAGAAUUCUCUCCUUUUUUAUUUCUUAUUGCUAGUGGACUUGCCAGGACUUAAUAAUAGGAAGGCAACUCUUCAUCAGCAAUUCCGUUGGUUUGCACAAUUUGGGCUGAUUGUGGAAAGCUUUUAGAAGCUUUCACGUGUGGAGAAAUCUUCUCAAGAAGGUCCCCUUUUAGCACUUUUCUGCUCCACUUUCUGAAAUUAUAUCCAAAUACCAAAUAUAAAUAUAUAUUGACAAUUAAAGCAAUAUUUGGCAAGGAUAAAGAGGAGAAUUAACAAUAAAAUUACUAACAAUUAACACCCUAUCAGUCAAUUAAAGGCAGAAGCAAUUUAAUUUUCUGGCCUUGCAUAGUGGGCACACUAGCAGAACCAAUGCUCAAUGUGGAUGACCAGAAGGUGUUCCUUCUUGGGACGAAAAGUAAAUCAGACAAUACGGCCAAUUAUGACGUAUCGAUGUCAUGUCAUUAUGGAGUCAUCAAUGUACACAUCAGCACUCAUAAACUCAAUACCAAUUCGCAGACUUCUAAUAUAUCUAUUCCUACGUUUCUUUGAUGGCUUGUUUUGGAUUUUUGCUUCAAGUUGAUGGAAUAACUUAAUGUGGUGGGGGAGGGAUGGGUUGAGUGGUUCAGGAGAGAUAGGAUUGUGAAUGAAAUUGGAAUAAGUUGAGCUUGGCCUACUAGGCUCGAGAAAAAGUCCAAUGAACCUAAUCUUUCGUUAAGAUAGAUGUGUUUGGAUCUAAAUAUUAAGCUCGAAUUAAAUAUGAGCCUAACUUGGGCCUUAUUAAGUUCAAAUCUGAUAUUGACCCGAUAAAAUUAUAACUUGAUAUAAAUAUAUAAUAAUAAUACUUUAUACAUUAUGUGUCAAAAUAUAUUAAUAUAUAUAAGAAAUAUUAACUAUACAAAAUUACGUCUACAGAUUCAGAAAGACAAAUCUUAGUAUGAGUAAAUUGAGGACCUUUGAAGAUGUAUUUACUGUUGUUCACGUUUUAUUACUAUUUUUCAUGUAUUUGAAUUAAUUGGAUAUUUUAUUAUUAUUGAAAAAUUCUUGAUUAUAUACUUUUUAAUGAGUUGUUAUAUGUUACUGGUUUGUAUAUAGUUUUAAUGCUAUGGUCCUGUGGAUAUUAAAUUAGUUUUAGAACUUAAUAGUUAUAAUACUUAUAUUGAGAAAAUUAAGGAGCAGUAAGUAAGUUUAAACUAAACCCAAAUUAAACUCAUAGCCAAAAUUUUGUGAGUCAAUUAUAAGUUUCACAUUUAUUAAUCCGAAACUUAUAACCCAAAAUCUGAGAGUGGUACUAACUAUACGAAAUGAGUUUGGGUUUGUUAAAACCCGACUCAAAUAGCCCCAUUGACAGGCUAAGAGAUAGGAAGUCUGUGUGAGAAGUUCUAAGUGCAAACUCUCUCACUUACACUUAAAUUAAUGUGGUCACAUGCAUGAUGAACAUUCAGCUCUUAGGAGCACGUUCAUAUCUUCGGGCAGACUUUGGAUUUGUUGAAUUAUUUGUUCUAUGUUGACGACAAAUCUUUCUGCUGUCUGGGUAGUACGUAGAGGUGUCAAAAUGGGUGACUUGGGCGGGUUUGGGUUGGAUAAAAUGGGUAAUGGGUAUAAGUGAGUCAACCCAUUUAUACCCAUUUAAUUAAAUGGGUAUAAAUGGGUAAGUCAAAAAAUGAAUUGGGUAACCCAAUUAUCCAUUUAUAACCCAUUUAUUUUAACUUUUGGUAAACUCAUUUAAAUUCAUUUUUACAAACUAAGUUAUCAAUUUAUACCGCUCUUUGUACCCAUCAUUAGUUUUAAAUAUUUACUUAUAAUGUUCAAUAAGUCUAAUUAUCAAUUUUUUUUUCAUUUAUACUCUAUGUCACAAAAUUACCUAUUAUUUAAUAAUUGAAUAAUAAGAAUAUAAAAAUUUGAACUAAGUACUAUAAAAUUAAUGUAAAAACUUAAUCCAAAAAUUUUGAACCUCUAACAUUUUUUUCAUAUAUAAAUUUAAAAUUUCAUUUUAGAAAGAUAAGAAAAUAGGCUAAACUUUAUCAUAAAUUGGUAAUACUGAAAAAUGAGCAAGUUAACAAACUAAGAGAAAAUAAAAUAAUAAGAUAAAACCAAUAAAUAAUAAUAAUAAUGAAACAAAAGUAGUUAACAUCAUGACAAAAUAAAAAAUUUGAAAAAAAAAAGGGGUGGGAGAAAAGAAGAGACUUGGGGGGAAGAGAAUUCUAAUUGGGUUAAUUGAAUUUGAUGGAUUACCCAAUAAUACCCAUUUAAUAAAUGGGUAUUAUUGGGUAACCCAUUUAUACCUAUAUAUAAAAAUUUAAGAUACUCAUAUCCAUCUAUUCAUGGACGGAUAUGGAUAAAUUUAGUUAAGUUGGUUAAUUUGCCACCUCUAGUAGUACGUACAGGAAUGGUUCAAGUGAGUGUGUUGCACGUGUGACAGAGGUAAUUAGCGGAUAACGUUUGCCAAAUUUGACCUAUGUGUCCUUUUUCUUGUCGUUGUUCCUAUUGACACAACCCAACUUGUAGAUGUAGAGUCUCAAGCCAGACGAAGAUAGCCUGUGAGCCCGCCCGCCAUGGAACAUAAGAUUUACAAUUUACGUUCCGAUCGAUGUCAGUUAUUAACGGAGAAUUACGUAUAUUUUAGGACAAAUUAUAUUUUACCCCCUGUGAUUUAAUAUUUUUUACAUAAUCCCCUUAUGAUUUCAAAAACUAUACAUAACCCCCUCAUGGUUUGGAUUAAAGUGUCAAAGUGACGGAAAUUAUCAUUGGUCACGGAACUUCUAAAAAUGUCGAAAUUACUCUUAUAAAUACAUGACACACUAAUCCCGUAUGAUUUUUAUAUUUUACCAUAUGACUCCCUUAUGAUUUAAUACUUUACCAUAUAACCCCUUUAUGAUUUUCAAAAUAUACACAUAACCCCCCUUGGUUAAUAAAUAAUUUUCAACUUUACAUAAGGGUAUUUUUGACAUUUUAGGUGACUCCGUUACGAAUGAUCAUUCCCGUUACAUUGACACUUUAAUCCAAACCAUAAGAAGGUUAUGUAUAGCUUUUGAAACUAUAGAGGAGUUAUGUAAAAAAACUCCAAACCACAAAGGGGUAAAGUGGAAUUUGUCCUAUAUUUUAUUGGCAUCUAGAAUUUAUUUGGUAAUAGGCAGACGUUCAUCUUUCCUGCAUCAAGAAAUUUUUUUUUUUUUGUAAGAGAAAAUUCUUACAUUAGCGCACAAGACGUAAAUGUUUGGUUGGAAUAGUCAAUAAUGAUUGCUUACAAAUACUGUUGGAUUUUGUAAAAUUACACGAUAACAGGAGUGAUAUUACUGCAUCAGCAUCACUAGGAUGAUUAUGAACCACACUAUACCAUACAAUACAUGCAUGGCAGAAUACCAAUUUACCUAUUUGAUAGUUCAAUUUUCAUCAAUUACCGUCCUAGGUACGAUACUAAUUCAAUCCAAUUAGAAAAAUUCUUACAUUUGCAAAAUCGACUAGUGACCCAGCCGCCUGGAGGGUCCCAGUCCAGUGUCCACAAAGCUACUCAAGCGAUCCAUUUGCUUCCCCUACAAAAGAGAGAACCUCCAUGUACCCUCCCCACAAUGUACCUACCCUCUCGUCUGAAUUGAAUUCUCUUCCAUUCUUCUGCGUUUGCCGAUCAGGAGAACUUGAGGAACAGAAUAAACAAGAACAGCAUACUCCUAUUCCUCAAAAGUUAAUAAUAAUGUCAAUCCUACGAUUUCAAUCGGAUCAUGCUGGAGCAGCAUGGAGAUCAUGCAUAGCUUCAGCCUUCCGAACAGCCUUAGCUUGCACAAUUAUUGGUUGCAUCACCCUCUUUGACCCGCCUUCAUUUAAGCAUCAAAUAGCAUUUCCCGGUUUCUCCUACGUGACAGCAAUUCUUCUUGUCACAGAUGCCACAGUGGAGGACACCUUCCGUGGCUGUUGGCAUGCCUUGUACGCUUCCGUCUUUGGUGUCUGUCCUGCCAUCCUUAGCUUAUGGUUAAUGGGGCCAGCCCAGCUAACCAUUUGCACCACCCCCGUUGCGGUGGCGCUUAGCGCAUUUGUGGUGGUGCUGCCUGAAAACAGCCACCUGAUAUCAAAGCGUAUAGCACUCGGCCAGAUUGUUGUUGUCUACGUAUUAGCUUUCAUCAAUGGUCCCAAAACUGACCCUAUUUUGCACCCCAUCCACGUCUUAGCCAGUACGGCUAUUGGAGCCGUGGCUUGUGUUUUGGCCUCGUUGCUUCCUUACCCAAGCUUGGCAUGUUACGAGGUAAUUUCCUGAAAUUCUGUAAACAUUAUUACCCGAAUGUACUCUCUUUAUUUUUUGGGAAGCAUAUCCGAACGUAUUCUUAUGGUAGCGUCUCAUAUCGUUGCAUUGUACUGUAUAGUUUAGUGGAAAUUCUCGAAUAGACAAGAAUACUUGUAGGCCAUGAGAAGGUCAGUUAUAGAUCGAGUUCAUGGGUAUGCCAAGACACAAAUAUACAGACUCUCACAUGUGAAUGAAGGACUCACGUAUCUGUCGCUUGAUGCAUUCAUACAUCGGGUCCAUAAUAAAAAAGACCUAAUAAUACAAGAUGCUGUAAGAAAUAAAUAGGUAAUGCAUAAUGACGUAAGAAAAUACACGUAUUCAAGCUGUCAAAGUAUAUAUCACAUGAUUUAUAAGUGAGUUUGUAAAUACGGUCCACCGAAUAUUCUAUUAGUUUAGGUGACGGAGGAUAUACCAUUCUUGUCUCAUGUGACGUCAAAAAUAUAUUGAACCGUACUUCAAGCACGUGCUCAAUAACGAGAAUUAUUCCUUUUUUAUUUAUUUAUUUAUUUUUGGGAAGACAGGUAAAGAAGAAAUUCAAGCUUUACACUAAGAAUGCUUCGGAGAGGGUAGGGGUCCUUAUGAAGGCGUUCUCUGCACAAGACGAAACAUCAGCACAAGCACUGAUUUUGCAAUCCAAGUCCUUGGCUCGCACGGGAACCAAAUUGCUUAGGAGCAUCAAAUCCAAGCAGGUAAGCUCACUUGAAAAGCUGUAUCCUUACCCUAAUGGGGCUACAACUUCUAUUAUAGGCAUUGGACCAUAGGCACUAACUAUUUACGAUGAUUUUUUUCUUUCCCUCGUGAAACAGGAAAGUAUGCUAUGGGGAAGGGUUCCAGUCAAAUUUUUGAAACCUUACUGCACGAAUCCAGGACAGAUAUUGCAAGAAAUUGAGACACCUAUAAGAGGGAUGGAAAUUGCUUUGUCCAAUGGUACCGUACCAUUUCCAGAGCGCAAAGAUGAUCUAGCAGGAAUUGAGGAGCUUAUUUCGCGUCAUAUUAAAAGCAUGCCCCUUACUGUCCCCGAAGCAAAUGCAGAAAACGUUGCUGAGUCCCUCCAAACUCUUCGAACCGUCCCAACAGACCAUAGACAAUUACCCUCUAUUUUCUUCCUUUUUUGCUUGAAGCUGCUACAAGCAAAACUAGCUACCACCUCAGCAAUCAGUUCUAUCAAAGAAAGAUCAACUGAUCCAGGAAAACAGGAGAAAUGGUUCUUCAUAAGGAUAUGGAGAAGCUUAUCCAUCAACAUCAACAAAAGCAGGCUUAUGCCAGCUUUCAAAUGCUCACUUUCAUUAGGCCUAGCUGUGUUCUUUGGAUCAUUAUACAGCAAGGAAAACGGAUUUUGGGCGGGAUUGCCAGUUGCCAUAAGCCUUGCAUCAGCCAGAGAACCAGCAUUUAAAGUUGCAAAUGUUAAGGCUCAGGGGACAGUAUUAGGAAUGGUUUAUGGCGUAUUCGGUUGCUUUAUUUUUGGAAAAUAUGUUCCAAUACAGCUUCUAUCCCUUCUUCCAUGGUUCAUUUUCUGCAGCUUUUUACGGCGCAGCCAUAUGUAUGGCCAGGCGGGAGGAAUUUCAGCAGUUAUAGGGGCAGUACUAUUAUUAGGAAGGAAAGAUUUUGGUCCCCCAAGUGAAUUUGCAAUAGCAAGAAUCACAGAAACUUUCAUUGGAAUAUCUUGUUCAAUCGUGGUAGAACUUGUUUUACAGCCCACAAGAGCUUUUGCUCUAGCGAAAGUUCAGCUCUCCAAGAAUUUUGAAGUGAUGCGAAAUUCUAUUGGUGCGAUUAGUCUCACUGCCAGCGAGGCCAACUUGGAGGAAAGCCUGAAAAAGCUUAAACUCCAAGUGAAUGAACUAGGAAAAUUCAUUGGUGAAGCUGAGGUGGAACCCAAUUUUUGGUUUUUGCCUUUUUACAGUGCUUGUUACAGUAAGCUCUCCGUGUCCUUGUCAGAGAUGGUGGAGUUCCUACAUUUCAUCACUCAUGCAAUUCAAUUUCUCCAUCAAGAAUCAGGAAGAAUGGACACCAAUUUGUGGAAGGAAAGUAUGAGCAAGAUAAAUGCUGAUCUCAAGAUUUUCAAGGAAAUAGUUGACUCUUCAAUAAAGUGUUUUGAGGAGGUCAGUCUGGUAAAAUCACUCGUGUUAUUGGACAAAGAGAUGGAAAGGGAAAACAUUUCCCUUGAUCUUGAAUCGGGUAAAUCACCAAAAAUCCCUUCUAUGAUGAAAUUACCAGGUUCAGAAGAAGAAGUGACCAUUGAGAAAACUCUAACCUAUUAUCUUCAGCAUUGCAACGAAUUUCUUGAGGCUAUUCACGCUGAUAAAGGUGAGAAGGAGCUCAAGAGCCGCAUUGCAUUGAUUUUGAGCUGUAUUGGUUUCUGCAUGAGCGGCCUUGUAAGGGAGACCAGAGAGAUUGAGAAGGCUAUUAAAGAACUUGUGCAGUGGGAGAACCCGUCAAGCCUUGUGAAUUUGCAUGACAUUUCUAGCAAGAUACAUGCUUUAGCAGCAGCAGUAGAUACCAUGCCAACGCAAGUUGGAUCAGUUGGCAAUAACGGGUCACUUUCUCACAAAAGGUUAUAUGUUCGAAUUCCGCUAUCGAUGUAAGAGUUGUGCUGGUAGAUGAUCUGUAAGUAUCUCUGUAAAUGAACUAUGGUUCAGGAGGCCUGCCUUGACCCGUGGUAGUGGUAGUGAUCGGAGUCAAACCUAUCAAAACUUUUUCUUACCAAAAAAAAGUAGAUACCGACCUGUAGAAGAACUGUAGCUAAACCAUAGCAAAGAUUUGAUUCCAAGGAAAUGAUGAUUUUUGCAUGUGUAACUGAUCAUUCCUGAAAUCCCCUCUUGUGAAUUUUGCUUCUGUUGAUCACGAUUAAGAUUUAAAUCAGUAGCAUGACCUGAAAAGUAACUUGGCAAGCUAAUGAACAAAUUUUCACAAGUUUCUUACACAAGAAGUGAUAAUCACCUGUUGUCGUAUCAUUGGUCUUUCCCCUCGUCCUUGUAGUAUAAGAAAUUGUUUUCUAUAUAAAAGAUAUGUUAAAAAAUAGGAAUUUCUAUAUAAAAGUCACAAUAAAGAUUAGGGUGUGAAUAUUUUUCUUUAGAAAAGAUAUUACUAUAAAAAGUUUUGAUUUGAUGUUUAAAAGCUAAGGACAUAAGUGUCUAACACAUGUAUAAAGUGUGAAUUUAGCAUGAAAGGGUUGUGGAUUUAAGUUCUUCCUAAAAUGAAUUGAGUUAAUUGAAAGGAUAAUAGUCUAGCCUUUUUAACAUUGUAAAUUAUCUAACACUCAUGAUAUAUUUAGAGGAAAAAUCCAAUACUAAACGACAAUGAUUUAAUCAACAGAAACAAAAUAAUAGAUAACUCAUCUAUUUGAUUUUAAAAAUUUCCGUGUUUGUAUCUAUUAUUUAAGAAUGUCAUAAUUUAGAAUCGUUUUUUUGUAGGUGGACUCUAUUUAGAGAGAGUUGGUACUUUUGUUAUUUCAUUUUAUAUAAUUUUGUUGUUCCUUCCGUGCCCUGAGCAUGACUUGAACAAGGCACUGGAUCUUGUUGAAAUAAAUUACACUCUGACAAAUACUUUGAGAUGACAUUGUCCGUUUUGCUUUGUUUUGGUCUUUUCGUCUCCCUUUCUACUUCAGUUAAGAAUCUCAUGUGUUUGAGAGAAGCAGCAAUGAAAUUUCUCUUCCAACAGUUUUUGAGCAUACGGAGAUUAUUCAAUUUUCAGACCCUCAACGCCUAAAAAACGUUAAAACUCUCGAGACUAGAGACACUGUUUUAGACUUUUCUCAAAGUUUUUCUAACUUCUCAUUUAGGCCGUCAAUAUUAACCAAUCUGAAUACUCUCACUAAUUUCUACAUUGGUGGACCACAAUUCAUUAUUCUCUCAUGCCCAUGACAGUGAGUCUGCUAAAUGACUUGUCCACUUCAUUCAACCACUUGGUAGGAAGGACCAAACAGUUGCUGUUGACUUACUUUUCAAGUCUAUAAUUUUAAGCUUGAAUUUUAGUACCCUGCAUGUCUACUCUGGAAGGACCAGAAGACUUUAGUCUCCUCGUAUAAAUACUAGGGAGAUGGACAAAGAUAGAAAAGGUUUCAAAUCAUAAAUUACAGUAAUCACUUUUCUUGACGCUAUAUUUGUCACUAUUAAUGUCCACUUCACUUUUCUUGAUGGGUAAAUACCUUUUAGUAUAAGACAAAGUUUAUUUGUCUAUAAUAUACACUAAUAUGACAAACCGGUUAGAAUAAUAGAGCGUAAUUUUAGAAUAUUUUAAAAUAUGAAGAAUGAUUUUCUGCAAUAAAUCAAUCCUUUAUGUGAUCUUGCACAGUUAGAACUAUUAUGAUUCAAGAAUUAACAUUUCUUCAAAGUUUUGUUUCAUGUGAAUAGGUGUUUACAUAAGAAGUGUAAGUGAUCAGAAACAUUGUGAAGUUGAGGCAUCAUUUGGUGGCAAAAUAGCCACUCGAAUCAUAAAAAGGUGCCGAAACAAUUUUAAGCGAGGGCAAUUUUCCUACAAUUGAUUCCCACAUUCUAUCCCUUGGUGUUGUUCUCAUCACAAGUAAGAUUUCAUAUGGCAGCAAAAUGAACAUUCAGAGGAGGGCAUAACCUUGUAAUGAUGUAGUACAAUUUAUUAUAUACUAAUGUACAAUACGGGAGCAUAAGACCCAAACAUAAUACGAAAGCAUAAUGAUGUGAAAACAUAAUGGAUUGAGCGAAUUGGCUGCCUUUCAAAACAUCCAAUUCCUAUAUAUAUGGGGAAAAAAAAAAGAAGAAGAGGACUAUAGAUAUAUGUUCCAGUCAUCCAUUUAUUUUUCCAAAUAAAAAGCCAAAGGUGUCUUCGUUAUCAACUCAUCAGACUGGCAACUUCAGCUCGGAGAUUCAGACCAACAAACAAACAGCUGCAAAUCAAGAUUUUAUGCAUUAGUACCUGCAAGAAGACAUCCUUUUUCCACUCUACUGAGCACAAAACAUAACUUUUGUUUUCUUUUCUUUUUGCUUUUGGCUAAAAUAGAUUCUGAAUAAAAGAAUGAGUUAGCUUGUAAGACUACAUCAAGAAUGAAAUUGCUUAUCUAAAAUAUAGAAGAAAUGAACUUCCAACUUUGUGAACCGUAUUAAAUUCUUGUAUGUACCUGUGGCUAUUAAGCUUCAAGAUUUUUUUGAUAUGCCCUGACACCAAGAAAAACAUCCUUAAUAUGAUGCAAUUUUCCGACUACUUCAUUCAUGUGCAUCCGAUCAUUUGGCGAUUUCUCUGAGCAUUUGAGCCCGAUUUUCAACAGGGAAAUAACAGAAUCCAUCUCCCUUCCACCAUCAGUUUCAUCCCUUCCAGGAGUCAUUCUUUUGUUUUCAUCACCUGCUUUAGACAGAAGCAAAGGGUCCACGAUCUCAUAAGCGUGUCCAGGCAAGGCUCUAUUAACAAAAUUAUGUAGAUCAAGCUCAUCCAUGAACAUAUCAUCUGUUGGUCUUUUCCUUGUGAUCAUCUCUAGCAAAAGAAUUCCAUAGCUGUAGACAUCCCCCAGAGUUGAUGCCGCAACACCCAUUCCAUACUCUGUAUUUUUGUUUUUAGAUAUAUUAUUGUUACGUUAUACAAGAAAACCUAAAGAUAAUAGGGAAAAUUAUGUAAGGGACUGAAACUGAAUCAAUUGUUAGAUUGGGGUAAAUUAAACAUAGCUACUAAGUACUAGUUCGUAAAUGAGACGUAACUGAAAUUGUUAAAAGUGAAUCACUACGAACCUGGGUCAAUUGCUUAUUGUCCCCCAAAAUCGUUUUAUCAAUAAGUUACUUCUUAAAACUAACUGUCAAUAUACAGAGUAUAUCAUCCAAGAACCUGACAAAAAGUCAUUUACAAUUUUUUUAAACUAAGGACAUGAAUUUAUUUGCUAUUUCUCAUCUUUUUUUAUUUUUCAUUUUUGCUUGCUUUUUUAUUUUCUUCUCCAUAGUGGACAUGCCACUAUUUUCUUGCCACUUGUUUCAAUAAUAUGUAUAUUUUUCUUGUUUGGAUAAAUUUUGUAUUCACUGACAACGUAUACACAAGUGGAUUUAAAUGCAUGCCACGUAUGUAAAACAUAACAUUCAAUUUUCAAAUGGUAAUUAGCUGCCAUACAUCCAACAUCGCUUGUGUCAAUGUAUACAAACUUUAUCCUUCUUAUUUUACCCUAUUGUUAGUUCAUAUUAGUUUCAAUUUGAAUUUUGAAUUAUUGAAUUAUUAAUGUGGUUUGUUAGUUCAAAAUGUACUUUAACAUUAAAGCUCUAUGUAUAUUUUCUGUGUUAUCCCAUAGAAAAAUGAGAUCAACAGAUCAUAGAACUUGGGAGAAAGAGUUUAAAAUUUUUCUCCUUUUAAAUCGCUGAAAAAGAAUCUUAAGGAACGAAAUAGCAUUAUCCAAAAAAAAAAAUGCAACAGUACAACUAUCUCCAUGUGAAUAUAUUUGUUAUCCUAAGUGCUUGGGCCGGGUUGGGGCGCCGGGUCCAGGCCGUAGGGGAUUAGUCGGACCCCGUAAAGAUUGAUCCGGACACCCCUGUGUCGAAAAUAUAUAUAUAUAUAUAUAUAUAUAUACUCUGCGAGUUUGAUUAUUCAUGGAAUUAUCAAAUGAUAUGAUAAAUCAAGGGUUGAAAAUGAUAAAUGACAAACAAAUAAUAUAUAUGUAUACACAUAUAUAUACAUAUAAAAACAAUCAAAGAAUGAGAUAAAAGUGAUUUUAAAAAGUUAUUCUAAAUAUGCUAAACGAGAUGAGAAGAGAGAAAGUGUGACAUGACAAAAUUGAGAAGGAAAAAAAAUAAAAUAAAGAGAAUCAGCUAUUAUAUCUGCCAAAGUUCUUUACUCCGCUUCACAAUGAAAUAAAGAAUGUGUUAAAGAGCCAAAUAAUGGUACUCUAUUUUUUAGGGCAAAUUACACUUUAUUCCCCUGUGAUUUAGUAUUUUUUGUACAUAAUCCCCCUAUAAUUUUAAAAACUAUACAUAACCGUCUCAUGAUUUGAAUUAAAGUGUCAAAGUAAUAGAAUUUGCAAUCCAUAACGGAAUCACCUAAAAUGUCAAAAAUACCCCUAUGUAAAGUUGAAAAUUAUUUAUUAAUCACAGAGGGGUUAUGUGUAUAUUUUGAAAACCAUAAGGGGGUUAUAGGGUUAAGCAUUAAACCAUAAGAGGGUUAUAUGAUAAAACAUAAAAUCAUACGGACUAGUGCGUUAAGUAUAUUAUGUUUAUAUGUUUUAAUCAUUUCAGCCAUUUUAAUUUUUAAACAAGGAUAAUUUCAAUUUUUUUAAAGGUUUCGUUACGAAUUAAAGGUUUCGUUACGAAUGAUCAUUUUUGUUACCUUAACACUUUAAUUCAAAUCAUGCGGGGUUAUGUAUAGCUUUUGAAACCAUGGGGGUUAUGUACAAAAAAUACUAAACCAUAGGGGGGUAAAAUAUAAUUUGCCCUAUUUUUUAUAUCUAAACCUUAAUAGUUUGUGCACAAUUUAAGUGACAUCUUGACUGCAACGGAUCUUCUGUCCCACACUCUGUGUCAUUCUCUGUCUCAUUUUUUAUUAUAUUGCUAUUUCUCCUACAUAAACAUCAUGUUUUAGUUCUUUUUUGUUUUCUUAAAAUUCAAUAACUAUUAAUUGAAUAAAAAAUAAAUACAGCAGUUUCAAAAAAGCAAUAUAUAAUAGAAAAUUAAAAAAUAGAGCAGAAAAUUCAUAAAAAAUCUCAUUUUUUAUGCAUUUUGAUUUUUUGAAUUUGUUAAAUUUUGUGUAUUACUCAAUUAAUAGUUAUUGGAUAUUAAGGAAACAAAAAAAGAACUAAAACGUGAUGUUUAUGUAGGAGAAAUAAUAAUAUAAUAAAAAGUGGCACAGAGUGUGGGACAGAAGAUCCGUUGCGCAUCUUGACCAUAAAAGUUUGUAUUUACCUGGGGCUGCGUAACCGAUUGUUCCUUUCAUAGCAAUAGUACUGCUGGUUCCUUGCUCGGAAGAUAUGUUGAUGGGUUUUGGGAGAAGCCUUGCCAAUCCAAAAUCACCCACAUGUGCAACAAGAUCAUUGUCAAGAAGAAUGUUACUUGGUUUUAGAUCACAAUGAACAAUCUCUGCUUCACAAUGGUUGUGAAGAUACUGCAAUGCUGAAGCCACAUCAAUUGCAAUAUUCAGCUUCUGAGAAAGACCAAGGCUUCUUGAGCUUGUUGCUUGAUCAGCUGUCUCAGGAUGCAGCCACAGGUCAAGAUUUCCAUUUUCCAUAAACUCAUAGACUAGAGCUUUGAAUUCAUCGCCCUUGGAAUCAAUACUGGAGCAAUAACUCAUGAUAGAGACGAGGUUUCUAUGGCGAAUACUUCUCAAUGUUUUGCACUCGGCUUUAAAACUUUUGGAAGCCCCAUUCUUUUGAAGAUCAAGAACUUUGACUGCUACAAGCUUGUUGCCAUGUUUUUCUAGCCUUCCUUUGUAGACAGCUCCAAAAUUUCCUGAACCAAUCAAGUUUUCUGGAGAAAAUCCUGAAGUUGCACGAUGAAGUUCAUGGUAAGAAAUUCGCAAGAGCUUAUCGACUCUUGUGGGCAUGCUAGAGAAUCCGGCUGCCAUUUUUCUUUCUCCUUUUUGACAAACGCAGAAAUAUAACAACACUGUACCAAGAACCAGAAGCGUUGCCGGUAAUAGAAUAGACAGCAAUAUGAUAACCUUCAGCUUUCCUCUGUUUUUCCCUCUGAUAACCGGGCAAGGUGGGAACUCCAAUUCUGGAAUGCCUCCACAGAGUUUGUUGUUGCCAACCAAUGAUAUUUGACUUGCAUUGAUGAAAAUCCCUCUGUUUGGUAUCUCUCCCUCGAUGUCGUUGUAGGAAAGGUUUAAGUACCUCAAAAAUCGAAGCUUCUCAAGUUCUUUUGGUAUUGAUCCAGUCAAGUUAUUACUUGAAAGGUCUAUUUGCUGGAUGCUCUUCAAAGAAGCCAAAUUUGGUGGAAUUGUUCCUUGGAAAAAAUUGGCUUGCAUGGAAAGAUUCUCCAGAUUUGAACAAUCAGCAAGUGACAUGGGUAUAUCUCCGGAAACUUGGUUGUGGGAAACAUUGAAAUCCACCAAGUGUAUAAGCUUUCCAACUUCAGGAGGCAGAGAACCAAUAAACGAAUUUUCACCAAAUUUCAAGUACAUCAGUGAUGAGUGCGUCUGCAAAAAUUGUGGUGAUAUAAUUCCAGUGAAUUUGUUGUGAGAUAUAUCCAGAUAUUGCAAAUUUUGACAGUUCAUAAGAACAUUGUCAAAUAUAUUGCCCCCUUCAAACUGGUUAAAUGAUAAGUCCAGAUAGUAUAGAGCGGUGGCAUUACAUAGAGUAGAGACUAUCUGUCCUGACAACUCAUUUUGGUGCAGACUCAAACCUUGCAUGUUUUGUAAUUUGCCAAAAUCUCUUGGAAUGACCCCAGAAAGAAUGUUUUCUUGAAGGCCAAGUACAAAUAGGUUGAAAAAAUUUCCAAAUCCUUCUGGGAUGGUUCCCGAUAGUUGGUUUCCUCCUAGGUAGAGUGUUGUAAGUUGAUUUGAUAGAUUGCCCGUGACUUUAGGUAUAUUACCUCCAAAUUUAUUGCCCCCCAAGUCAGUAAUUCUGAGAUUACUGCAGUUGGUCAGUGAUGCAAUAAAAUCCAAGUCUCCUGUAGAAUUACUGCCGAAGAGGUUAUCAUUAAGAUAUAAUAUUUGAAGUUGUUUCAGUUCUCCUAAAUUACUUGGAAUUUGGCCUGCAAACUUAUUUUUGGAAAGAUCAAGUACCUCGAGCCCGGAAGCAUUUGUGAUUGAAGUUGGAAAGUUACCAUAGAACUUGUUUUUCCCAACACCUAAUGCAUUCAGAUUUGGCAGGAUGAGGCCUAUGUUGGUUGGAAGAUUGCCAUGAAAGGAAUUGUCGGAUGCUGAAAUGAUCGUAAUAGCUGAAUUAUUGAAGAUAGAGGCAGGGAUUAUACCAGAUAGUUUAUUUCCAGCGACUCCUAAUACAACCAACCUUUUCAAGAGCCCCAUCUCCAUGGGCAAAUUUCCCUCCAGAUUGUUGAAGUCGAGACCGAUUCGGAUCAAUGAUGAUAAGUUCCCAAUGGAAGAGGGAAUCUGUCCCGUCAAAUUGUUUGACAAAAGAUUUAAAUUUUCAAGCUUCUUCAUAUUGCUUAGCUGAUCAAUGGGAAAUUUCCCUUCCAGCUUAUUCCCCCUCAGGCUAAUUGUUAUCAACUCUGAGCAGUAGCUCAGGUUUGCUGGGAUUUUUCCACCGAGUGCGCUUCCUGACAGGUUCAAAACUCUUAGCCUGAAGAGGUGACCAAAAUCUUGGGGAAUCCCACCAUGGAAUUGAUUCCCCCCAAGUUCCAUGAACCUCAUGAAGCUUAGAUUUCCGACAUGAGGAGAUAUGGUUCCAGACAACUGCUUAUGCCUUAGAAUCAAGGCUAUGACCCUGUGAUGUCGAGUACUACAGGUGACUCCUUCCCACUGGCAAUGGUGUUGAGAAUGGUUCCAGGAAUUCAGCACUCCAAACGGAUCAUCAAAUAUCUGAUUCUUGAAUUCAAGCAGAGCCAGACGAUCAGUCUCAUUUUGAAAUUUUUUGGAAGCUGAAACAUGGCUUACUGAAAAGUUCAUGGCAACUGAGAGGAAGAGAAAAAUGUUCGCUAAUGUCGAUGAGCGAAAUCGCAACUUGGUAAUUGGAAAUUCCAUUAGCUUCGAAGGAAAGAUGGAUUAAUUUGCAACAAACUGAUGAUUGAGUGAUAAAAGUUUCUGUGGAAUGGGAACAAUGUUUGAGCUGUUACAGAUUCUUGUAGUUCUGCUUAUAUAAGCCCAAACAGUUGGAACAAAUGGGACAUAAUAUCUUGGCAUAUUUUAGCAUGAAACUCGAAAAAGGAUGGAAUUUAAGAAGCUAUAAAAAAAAAAGGAGUGGGGAAGAGAGAAUUAAACGUAAAAUUUUUAAUUUUUAAAAUCUCAAUUUUAGCCACUAAAUUAAUAAAUAAAUCUGGUUCAAUCUCUUCGGUCCAAGUGACAAUGCGCCACUCUUUAGACCUACUUGUACAAGUAAUUGAAAUACUAAUAGAUGAUGUGUGUGACAUUUAGAUGACUUAACUAAUUUAUGAAAUUCUUGAUUUAAAUCUCACUACUUGCGAGUCUUUUCUUCCACUAAUUCUGAGUUGACUCGUAGUAUUUUAUUUAUAAAUUAUUUGAUUAAUUAUAUUACUUCUACUAUUGUGUUUCUUUUAUAUAUAUAUAACUUUAUAAUAAAAAACAAAAAAAAAACUAAUUGUGCAAUACUAAUUUAAGAUCGUGCGCAUUGUGAAAUAUCAUCAUUAUUAUCCGGACAACGGCACUGGCUGACUGGGAAAACCUUUCCACACUGCGCACGAUUGGUGAGCUAUGAGUUUGACUGGUCCAAGUGUUCCGAGGGACCAAUUCUUAUUGACUCAAAUGCAAUUAGAGGUCAGAACUGUAAAUUGAUCAUGGUGAGAUUUGAAAUCCCUGAUUUCAAUCUUCAUCACUAAACAGAAAUCUCAUUGGAGUUCUUCUUUAUAGAUAUAAGUGAUUUUCUGGGUAGUAAUCUUUUUCAAUUUUACAGGUGAUUAAUUUUUGGGUAAAUUACAUUUUAUCCCCUGUAGUUUGGCGCUUUUUUACAUAACCCCUUAUGGUUUCAAAAGUUAUACAUAAUCCCUCGUGGUUUGGAUUAAAGUGUCAAAGUGACGAAAAUAGUCAUUCGUAACAGAACCUCUAAAAAUGUCGAAAUUACCCUUAUAAAUAUAUAACACACUAACCCCGUAUGAUUUUUGUGUUUUACCAUAUAACUCCCUUAUAGUUUAAUAUUUUACCAUUUAACCCCUUUAGAGUUUUCAAAAUAUACACAUAACCCCCUUGGUUAAUAAAUAAAUUUCAACUUUACAUAAGGGUAUUUUUGAUAUUUUAGGUUUCCGUCACAAAUGAUCAUUUCCGUCACUUUGAUACUUUAAUCCAAACCAUGAAGUGGUUAUGUAUAGCUUUUGAAACCAUAUGAGGGUUAUGUAAAAAAACACUAAAUCAUAGGAGGAUAAAGUGGAAUUUGCCCUUAAUUUAUAGACUUGUCUCUGUUUCCAAUCGGCUGCUUUAGUGAAUUGAGCUUAUUCUGGAGUUACUGUUGUCUCACUAGAUUAUCGGCUGCUAUUGCACCAGAAAAAUAGACAAAAGGAAAAUCCUCAUUUAUCAAAGCUCUGCAAUGAUCAAAACAUUGAUGCAUUUUAUGCAUUUCAAACUGUACUAAUGCAUAUAUAUUAUCCAAGUUUUUAUUGCAAUAGAAAUACUUCAAAAGCUCCACUGCCUGCUGGUAUCUAAUUAACAUCUUUGAAAGGCAUCUCUGAUGAGAUGUAAUUCUCUUGUGACUUGUUUCAUGUCCAUGCGAUCUUUGGAUGAUUUU